rnacentral:rRNA from 1 species
CCUACGGGAGGCAGCAGUGAGGAAUAUUGGGCAAUGGAGGCAACUCUGACCCAGCCAUGCCGCGUGCAGGAAGACGGCCCUAUGGGUUGUAAACUGCUUUUAUACAGGAAGAAACACAUCUACGUGUGGGUGCUUGACGGUACUGUAAGAAUAAGCACCGGCUAACUCCGUGCCAGCAGCCGCGGUAAUA